rnacentral:misc_RNA from 1 species
CAUAAAUAUCACGACAUGGGCAUACUCAAGCAAUAUCUGGCCGGCCUCUCGGCAUCCUUUGGUGGCUUUUGCUUGGGCACCUCGGAGGGCUGGUCGGGACCCGUCCAGCAUUCGAUCCUGGCCGGAAACGCAUACAAAUUUACGCCCACCCUAAAUGAGUUCGCUUGGACCGCCUCGCUGUUCGAUCUGGGCGCCGCCAGCAUGUGCAUGCCAUCCGGAGUGCUGAUAGCUGCAUUUGGACGCAAAUUGGUUAUGCUGCUGCUGGCCGUGCCAUUUUUCUUGGGUUGGGCAUGCAUUUUAUUUGCCCAACAUGUGUGUAUGCUGUUCAUCGGACGCUUCGUUUUGGGUGCCUGCAGUGGGGCGUACAGCGUCGCCGCGCCCAUUUACACAACGGAGAUAGCCGAGGUGAAGAGCCGCGGCAUUAUGGGAUUCUUUUUCCAAUUGAUGAUCGUAAACGGAACACUCUUUAGCUUUAUAGCUGGCAGCUAUUGUUCGGUAGAAACCUUUAACAUAUUGUGCAGCAUCAUGUCAAUCGUUAUAUUUGUGCUAUUAAUCUGGGUACCCGAAUCGCCCGUAUAUCUCGUGCAGAAGCGACGGCCCGACAAGGCGCAGAGCGUCCUCCGGCGGCUGCGUGCCGCCGAUGCCGAUAUAAGCGCAGACAUGGCUAUCCUAAUCGCAGAUACCCAAAAGAAGAAAGCCACCUGUGGCCAGGCAUUCUCGCGCAAGACCACAAUCAGAGGCAUCUUCAUAUCCGUAACGCUGAUGGUGUUCCAGGAGUUUACGGGCAUCUGUGCCAUCACCUUCUAUGUGGCCAGCAUAUUCGAGGAAGCCGGCACUGGGAUUCCCACGGGAGUCUGCACCAUUAUCAUUGGCGCUGUUAGCGUCAUAUCGACGAUUCCGGCAACUAUGUACAUCGAUCGACUUGGUCGAAAAAUGCUGCUGAUAUUCUCGGGUGUCUUGAUGGGCAUCACAACCCUAGUGUUGGGCUUCUAUUAUAUGGGCAUGAAGGAUUUGAAUGUCGGCUGGGUGGCUGUGACAUCCGUUUGUGUAUACGAAAUUGGCUACUCGGUGGGCUAUGGCCCGGUGCCGUGGCUGGUUAUGGCCGAGCUGUUCGCGGAGGAUGUCAAGCCCAUUUGUGGCGCCAUCGUGGCCACCUGUACUUGGCUAUUUGCUUUUGCCGUUACCAAAUUGUUUCCGGUAUGCGUGCUGGAGUUCGGUUCGGCGAUCACGUUUUGGGGAUUCGCUGUCAUUUCAUUUUCAUCGUGCAUUUUUGUCAUUUUCUGUGUGCCGGAGACGAAGGGCAAGAGCUUAGAUGAAAUCCAACAGUUGCUCAAAGGCAAAUAAGCGAGGACAAAGAAAGCUUUCUAUUUGAGAAUACCAUUGGAGAAUAUCUUUGUACAUGAUGCUUUUUGAGACAAAAUAUAUCAUUGGAUUGGAUCAACGAAACAUUGUCCGUCUGUAUCUUCAAGCAAUAUUUAGUACGGCCUGCCCAGCAUACUUUGGUGGCUUUUGCUUGGAAAUCACGGAAGGACGGAGCACCUGGUCAUUGGAUCUUGGCGCCUCUGUCAUGUGUAUGCCCUCUGGAGUACGAUUUGCUAUUUUAUUGGAUGAGCGUGGACUAGCUGGGCGAGGAUUCUUAUAAAUACUGAGAAGCAAAACGACACCAAAAUCUGCUUUAUCGUCUGAGUGACAUCCCAUUGUGUAUUCAAUAAAGAAUGAUCCGACUCUGUUCUGCUGCGUGGAAAUCAUUAAAGAAAUCCGAA